UAGGAAGGAACUGCACAUUUUGAACAGCACCUCAUAUUUCACUUGGGCAGCUUAUAGCACAGCGGCAUGAAUAUUGAUUUAUCCAACUUCAAGUAAGACUUGCAUCCCCUUUCUCUCCGUACCUCCCCCACACUAGUUCUACAACUAGUUUCAUUGUC